rnacentral:rRNA from 1 species
GACGAACGCUGGCGGCGUGCUUAACACAUGCAAGUCGUACGGUAAGGCCCUUUCGGGGGUACACGAGUGGCGAACGGGUGAGUAACACGUGAGUAACCUGCCCACAACUUUGGGAUAACGCUAGGAAACUGGUGCUAAUACUGGAUAUGUGCCCCUGCUGCAUGGUGGGGGUUGGAAAGCUCCGGCGGUUGUGGAUGGACUCGCGGCCUAUCAGCUUGUUGGUGGGGUAGUGGCCUACCAAGGCGGCGACGGGUAGCCGGCCUGGGAGGGUGACCGGCCAAAUGGGGAUUGAGAAACGCCCCAGACCCCGAGGGGAGGAGGAGGGGGGGAAUAUUGAAAAAGGGGCGCAAGCUGGAUGCAGCAACCCCGGGGGGGGAAGGACGGCCUGGGGGUUGAAACCCGUGUUCAGCAGGGAAGAAGCUUUUUGUGACGGUACCUGAAAAAGAAACACCGGCAAACUACGUC